rnacentral:rRNA from 1 species
CCUACGGCGGCUGCAGUGAGGAAUAUUGGUCAAUGGACGAGAGUCUGAACCAGCCAAGUAGCGUGAAGGAUGACUGCCCUAUGGGUUGUAAACUUCUUUUAUAUGGGAAUAAAAUGUUCCACGUGUGGGAUUUUGUAUGUACCAUAUGAAUAAGGAUCGGCUAACUCCGUGCCAGCAGCCGCGGUAAUACGGAGGAACCGAGCGUUAUACGGAUUUAUUGGGUUUAAAGGGAGCGUAGGUGGAUUAUUAAGUCAGUUGUUAAAGUUUGCGGCUCAACCGUAAAAUUGCAGUUGAAACUGGGAGUCUUGAGUUCAGUAGAGGUAGGCGGAAUUCGUGGUGUAGCGGUGAAAUGCUUAGAUAUCACGAAGAACUCCGAGUGCGAAGGCAGCUCACUGGACUGCAACUGACACUGAUGCUCGAAAGUGUGGGUAUCAAACAGGAUUAGAUACCCUGGUAGUC